GAUGAACGCUAGCGGCAGGCUUAACACAUGCAAGUCGAGGGGCAUCACGGGUAGCAAUACCUGGUGGCGACCGGCGCAAGGGUGCGUAACGCGUGAGCAACAUGCCCUAUACAGGGGGAUAAUCCAGGGAAACUUGGUCUAAUAUCCCAUAGCAUUUAGAGGUGGCAUCACCAUUAAAUUAAAGCUUCGGUGGUAUAGGAUUGGCUCGCGUGACAUUAGCUAGAUGGUGGGGUAACGGCUCACCAUGGCUAUGAUGUCUAGGGGUUCUGAGAGGAAGACCCCCCAACUGGGACUGAGACACGGCCCAGACUCCUACGGGAGCAGCAGUGAGGAAUAUUGGACAAUGGAUGGAAAUCUGAUCCAGCCAUGCCGCGUGCAGGAAGACGGCCCUAUGGGUUGUAAACUGCUUUUAAUGGGAGCAAUAAGGUCUACGAGUAGACCGAUGAGAGUACCAUAUGAAUAAGCAUCGG
rnacentral:rRNA from 1 species